rnacentral:rRNA from 1 species
GAUGAACGCUGGCGGCGUGCCUAAUACAUGCAAGUCGAGCGAACAGACGAGGAGCUUGCUCCUCUGACGUCAGCGGCGGACGGGUGAGUAACACGUGGAUAACCUACCUAUAAGACUGGGAUAACUUCGGGAAACCGGAGCUAAUACCGGAUAAUAUAUUGAACCGCAUGGUUCAAUAGUGAAAGACGGUUUUGCUGUCACUUAUAGCUGGAUCCGCGCCGCAUUAGCUAGUUGGUAAGGUAACGGCUUACCAAGGCAACGAUGCGUAGCCGACCUGAGAGGGUGAACGGCCACACUGGAACUGAGACACGGUCCAGACUCCUACGGGGGGCAGCAGUAGGGAAUCUUCCGCAAUGGGCGAAAGCCUGACGGAGCAACGCCGCGUGAGUGAUGAAGGUCUUCGGAUCGUAAAACUCUGUUAUUAGGGAAGAACAAAUGUGUAAGUAACUAUGCACGUCUUGACGGUACCUAAUCAGAAAGCCACGGCUAACUACGUG